GACGAACGCUGGCGGCGUGCUUAACACAUGCAAGUCGAACGGAAAGGCUCCAGCUUGCUGGAGUACUCGAGUGGCGAACGGGUGAGUAACACGUGGGUAAUCUGCCCUGCACUCUGGGAUAAGCCUGGGAAACUGGGUCUAAUACUGGAUAUGACCUUUCUCCUUAUGGGGUUUGGUGGAAAGUUUUUCGGUGUAGGAUGAGCCCGCGGCCUAUCAGCUUGUUGGUGGGGUGAUGGCCUACCAAGGCGACGACGGGUAGCCGGCCUGAGAGGGUGAUCGGCCACAUUGGGACUGAGAUACGGCCCAGACUCCUACGGGAGGCAGCAGUGGGGAAUAUUGCACAAUGGGCGGAAGCCUGAUGCAGCGACGCCGCGUGAGGGAUGACGGCCUUCGGGUUGUAAACCUCUUUCAGCAGGGACGAAGCGUAAGUGACGGUACCUGCAGAAGAAGCACCGGCUAACUACGCG
rnacentral:rRNA from 1 species